GACAUUGUGGCCUAAUGGAGAAGCCGUCGGACAUCGGAUCCCAAGAUUGCAGGUUCGAGUCCUGCCAGGGUCG
rnacentral:tRNA from 1 species